UUUGAAUGUAAAUUUUAAAACUUAAUUAUUAAUAGUUAUGGUCUUUAAAGUUAAAGAAUUUGGCGGUAUUUUAGUCUAUUUAGAGGAACCUGUUCUGUAAUCGAUAGUCCACGAUUUAUUAUACUUACUUUAUUAGUUUAUAUAUCGUCGUAGUUUGAAUAUUUUAAAAGAAUUGAAUGUUCAAGAUUCUAAAUUUAGAAGGAAAUCAGAUCAAGGUGUAGCGUAUAAGUGAGAAGUAAUGGGUUACAAUAAAUUUAUUUAUAUGGUAUAGGUAUUUGAAAAAUAUUUAUUAAAGUGGAUUUAAAAGUAAUAGGGUUGAAUUAAAUUCUAUGAUUUUAGCUCUAAAAUAUGU
rnacentral:rRNA from 2 species